rnacentral:rRNA from 1 species
GAUGAACGCUAGCGGCAGGCCUAAUACAUGCAAGUCGAACGGUGUCUUCGGACAUAGUGGCGCACGGGUGCGUAACACGUAUGCAACCUACCUUACAUUGGGGGAUAGCCUUUCGAAAGGAGAUUAAUACCGCAUAAGACAGUAGCUGGGCAUCCAGCAGCUGUUAAAGAUUUAUCGAUGUAAGCUGGGCAUGCGUCCAAUUAGCUAGUUGGUGAGGUAACGGCUCACCAAGGCAAUGAUUGGUAGGGGAACUGAGAGGUCAAUCCCCCACACUGGAACUGAGAUACGGGCCAGACUCCUACGGGAGGCAGCAGUAGGGAAUAUUGGGCAAUGGACGCAAGUCUGACCCAGCCAUGCCGCGUGCAGGAUGAAGGCGUUAUGCGUUGUAAACUGCUUUUAUACAGGAAGAAACGACCCUUGCGAGAGGCAUUGACGGUACUGUAUGAAUAAGCACCGGCUAACUCCGUGCCAGCCGCCGCCGUAACAC